GUUACUCACAUGCACUCUGACAAAGCUGUUCUGGAAGAAUAACAUUCCAGCAGCUCGGAGGCUGCUCACAGGAAGUUGGUUGUGAAUUCUGACAGGGUAAGCUCAUGUUGGUGUGGGCAGGUGGGAGACUGGGAGUUCUUCCCAUGGAACUUGUCAGAGAAAUGCAGGAGGCUUAGGCUGGCUUAGUUUUCCUUGGUCAUUCAAAAGCUUCGGGCUGUGUUAGGGGGAAAAAUGGUGGUACGUGGAGGGACUUUUCCAGCCCUCAGUCCACUAGGGGUGUGUUUUCUAUUUGAAGCAUAGAUCUGAAGAUGUGAGAAAUCAGGAAACGUUUCACCAGAAUCUUCUGGGCUCAGGAAACAAGCAGCAAGGGAGCUGGCUUUUUGUUUUUCUCUUAAGCCUGAUUUCCUAUGGAAAGUGAUUGAUGCUGUUUAUCCCUUUCUUUUUUCCUCAUUCUUUCCUUAGGUAUUUGCCAGUAGCUUUUGAAGUCACAGACAAAUUGCAGCCGUGUUUGUAGGAGGGAUAGAGAUCUCAGACUGUCACAUUCCUACAGUUUUGGGGAAGACAAACAAACUGGGUAGAGGGAAACCUCUCGGUACCCUUUCUUGAGAGAGACAGAGACGCUGUGCUGCAGGUAAAGGCACAGUUCCAGCAUUGAAGAGUUUGUGAUCUAAAUGUCACUGAUAUAGAAAGUGAGGAGAAUGAUCUCAGAAAAGAGAACAAAGAUUCAAAUGAAUGUAAGUCAAAGGAAGCAACUUAAACAAGUUGUAAUUUCUAAGAACAGAGUAAGGUAGACCAGCAUGGAAGAGGGUGAGAACAUAGAGGCAAGACAGCAUAAAGCAAAUCCAAAUAGUACAGAGAUUUGAAGGAAUAGAGGGAAAAUAUUUUACGUAGCAGGAUUUGGAAAACAUAACAACAUCAGAAGAGUAGGCAGAAUCAAGAUGAAGAGGAUGUGGUAGGAAAUAGAGACAGGAAAAACAUAGAAGAAACUUUUACCUUAUGGCUUUUAUGGAAAGAAAAAAAAGGAGAGAGACAGGAAAAGGGCUGGGGAAUGUGCUGGUUUGAUCGGUUUGGCAGGAAAGCUGGGACACACAUCCUAUUAUGCUAAGACUUUCCCUUACCCCCUGCUCCACCCUGACAUUUAGCUGUCCAUUUCAUUUGCUUUUAAAAGGAGUGAUGGAACAACAGCAGUGGGCCUGAAAACUCAGGCAUGUGUGUUCCCCUGUCGCUGCCUCCCGUUCCACUCAGGUUUCGUAUGAGCCGGUGGACUUCUUUGUGUGUUUCUGCAUCAUUGAGAUGGCAUGGCAGAAGCACCUGGCAUUCAGGCACUACUGCUUUAUCUCAGUCAAAAAGGAUCCAAAAUGCUUUUUGUUAUGUUAGCUGAAAUUGCUUCUCCAAAUGAUCUUAGUUAAACUGGUAUUACCUUUAAAUGGAAAAUUAAAUGUAUGGUUGGUUUAUGUUGGGUUGUUUGAAUCUUGUUUGCGUUGCUGACACAGGAAUGCAAAGUAAUCUCAUAAAUUUAUAUAGAAUGUUUUUAAAAUGUCACCUAGACACUUUUCCAAACCUAUAGAAAACAUAGUUGGUCCUUUCUUAUCUAUACAUUAGACUGGGAUUUGAUUCAAUAGAUUGAUUUCUAAUAUUAGGAUGUUCUUCUGUAAAGAAAAGUAGAUAAAUGCAUGAUAGUCUGCCUUUCUUCUUCUCACGUUAGACUUGUCUAAUGAAAUGUAUUUUUGAAAUAGCCGUGUUCAGUCACUGGCAUUCUUUCUGUCUAUUCUAACAUCUUCCAGCUGUGUUGUGUGUAUCUGGGGACGAG
ensembl:lncRNA